rnacentral:tRNA from 3 species
GGUUAGGUGGGUGAGAGGCUGAAACCAGUCGUUUGCUAAAUGACCUUACGAGUAACAUCGUAACGAGGGUUCGAAUCCCUCCCUGACCGCCA